UGAACUAUUGACGGGGUGGGUACUGUUUGAUCCACAAAUCUACUGAAAACUUUAGUAACAGUAAGGUAGACUGUGGUAUACAUUAAUAUUAUGUUUCAAAGUUGAUUUGAUAGUUAUAUUCCUGGUUUUUACCUUCCAUUUUUCAUGUUUUAUCUAGGAGUUCACCACUAUCCGCAUUGGCGUUACUAUGCAGUUGAUACUUGACAGGAAUUUUUCUUCAUGUUGAAUUCCAUAAAUUUCAACUUUCAAGACUAGCUUCCAACGCCUUAAGGCUUAACUUAAGUGUUACUUACAAUAUACUAUAUAGAGCAAAUCUCGUCAACCACUUUCCUCAUCGCUACAUCAGAUUAAUACUAAUAGAGACAGAAAAAGUUGGAAAAUGACUGAGAAUCCAGCUGAAUGCAGUAUCAAAGUGGUGUGUCGAAUUCGGCCUCUUAACAGUUCAGAAGAGAAAUCGGGAAGCAAAUUCAUUGUGAAAUUUCCACCAAAUACAGAAGAAUGUGUUUCCAUUAAG